rnacentral:rRNA from 1 species
GACAGAGGGUGCAAACGUUGCUCGGAAUCACUGGGCGUAAAGGGCGCGUAGGCGGUUUGGACAGUCAGAUGUGAAAUUCCUGGGCUCAACCUGGGGGCUGCAUUUGAUACGUUCGGACUAGAGUGGGGGAAGAGGGUCGAUGGAAUUCCCAGUGUAGAGGUGAAAUUCGUAGAUAUUGGGAAGAACACCGGUGGCGAAGGCGGCGACCUGGUCCUUGACUGACGCUGAGGCGCGAAAGCGUGGGGAGCAAACAGG